CAACUAUAAAUACCACUCGACUUCCCCCACCUCCCUCGUCAGCUGCAGUGUCAAUCCCUCCUCUCCGCCGCCUACAGCUGCGGGGAGCUCGCCAGUCGCCACUUCGCCAGUCGCCACUUCGCCAGAAUGGUUGCCCACACGUUCCAUCAGUACCAGGCAGCGGGUCGCGCGCUGCCAGUCCCCGCUGAUGAGCACCCCAAGAUCUACCGCAUGGAGCUUGCGCUACCAACGAGGUCUGCUCCAAAUCCAAGCUCUGGUACUAUCUGAGGAAGCUCAAGUCUCAAGAAGGUUUAAGAGCAACGGUCAGAUUCUCGCCAUAGACGAGAUCUUUGAGUGUAACCCUACAACAAUCAAGAGCUGUGGCAUCUGGCUGUGUUACCAGUGCAGGACAGGUUACCACGACCUGCACAAGGAGUACCGUAAUACCACCCUGAAUGGUGCCAUGGAGCAGAUGUACAAUGAGACGGCUUCCUGUCAUCGUGUGGUCACCCUACAUACAGAUCAUCAAGACGGCAACAAUCAACUUUAAGCUUUGCAAGAGGGACAACGCCAAGCAGUUCCACAAUUCAAAGUUCAAGUUUCCUUUGGUUUACUGCAACAAGUCAGGCCACCAAAUAGGAAGCUGAAGACCACCUUCAAGGCUUUAAGGCCCAACUUGUUCGUGUUAUCCAACUUGCCCUGACACCCUCCCAAAUCUGUGAGGCUGUCAGUCUGGUGGUUUGCUAGUUCAGGGUAAUGCAAUCUACAUGCAACCUAUUGUUUCUAAGUUCUAGUUGGAGGUCCAUGAAAGGGUUCUUAGUGUGAUGGCAAAGGCUUCCGAGUAGCACCCUAGUGACCCGGGUCUGGUGGGUUGCUAGUUCAGGGUAACUCAAUCUACAUGCAACCUAUUGUUUCUAAGUUCUAGUUGGAGGUCCACAAAAGGGCUCUUAGUGUGAUGGCCAAGGCUUCCGAGUAGCACCCUAGUGACCUGGGUUAUGACUCCCAGUGGGAGUGGAUUUAUGUGGACUGGGUAAAAAUAUCCCUUUGUCUAACCAUACGUCAAAGCACGAUUUAAGGCCUGUCCCAUGCUCACAUAGGCAAUGUGGUCGUCGUGUAAGGGUGUGGGAAAGUAGGUUUAAGGGUUCCCUUAGGCAAUGCUUGGGGGCCUAUCCCAUCCUCAUUUCUUUUUGUUCUUUACCGUCUGGUGCCUUAUAAAUUAUAAUAGCAUGUACAAAUCUCAUGUGCUUUAAACUUACCCAAAAAAGAGCAGACCUGUUACUGGAGGGAUCUGGACGGGGUAUAAACGGAGGCAAUGGUGACUUAGUGAGACAGCUCUCACCACUGCAUUAUGCCUGCUUUAAAAUUCACUCAAAUGUCAAAACUGGUGUUUGCUUAUGGCUAUGUUGCUGCGGUCUUCCUUGUGCCAAGUCAGUUGCAACAUGAUCUGGUCAAAUUUGCUUUUUGUUCUGUACCCCUAAUUGCUUUUUAAUUUGCAAUGCUCUUUAAGAUUUUCUAGUUUGGUGUGUUUAAAUUGUGAUGUUUUACAUUUAUCAAAAACUGUUUCAUUACAUUGUAGGGCAACUUUGCCAAGGUUACCAACUAUAAAUUUGGUUUCCUUUUUUUCCCUGUUGCCAAUACCACUGUUGCCACUGGAUGUUUGAACUUUCCAGUCCAUGAGCUCUUUUAUUUGGUUUCAUGGAUAAUCAUCCUUGCCAACAUUCUUUACUAAAAGAACAUUCUACUUCCAAAGCUGUACAAAACUUCUAGUGGUUGUGAUCUAUUUGUUUUUUUCAUUAGUGACAUGGUGUAAUCUAUUUGUUUUUUUCAUUAGUGACAUGGUUGUGAGUUUUGCCUUGUAUUUUGAAUCCAUGUGUGUAUUUAGUCUCUUUGAGCAUGUAGUGUGAAUGUGAGUUAAUUUAUAGUAUUCUAAUUUGGUUUCUGAUUACCGUUGUAAUUUUUCAGGCAACUUUGCCAAGGUUACCAACUACAAUUUUGGUUUCCUUUUUUUCCCUGUUGCCAAUACCACUGUUGCCACAGGAUGUUUUUACUUUUCAGUCCGGGAGCUAUUUUAUUUGGUUUCAUGGAUAAGCAUCCUUGCCAGCAUUGUUUACAAAAAGAACAUUCUACUACCAAAGCUGCACAAAAUUAGUGGUUUGAGUUCUCGUGUACUCUUCUAUGCUGCAGCAUAAUCUGUUUCGUUUUGGGAGGAGCUAUUUUAUUUGGUUUCAUGGAUAAGCAUCCUUGCCAGCAUUGUUUACAAAAAGAACAUUCUACUACCAAAGCUGCACAAAAUUAGUGGUUUGAGUUCUCGUGUACUCUUCUAUGCUGCAGCAUAAUCUGUUUCGUUUUGGGAAUUGGGUACUAUGUUUGCUUUUUUCAUUAGUGACAUGGUUGUGAGUUUUUGCCUUAUUUUGAAUCUAAGUGUGUUGCUAUUUAGCCCCUUUGAGCAUGUAGUGUGAAUGUAAAUUAAUUUGUAGUAUUCUAAUUUGGUUUCUGAUUACCAUUAUAAUCUUUUCAGGCAACUUUGCCAAGGUUACCAACUAUAAAUUUGGUAUCCUUUUUUUCCCUGUUGCCAAUACCACUGUUGCUACUGGAUGUUUGAACUUUCCAUGAGCUAUUUUAUUGGUUUCAUGUGUAAGCAUCCUUGCCAACAUUGUUCAGUAAAGGAACAUUGUACUUCCAAAUCUGCACAAACUUGUAACUGUAAUGGUUUGAAUUCUCAUGUACUUUUCCAUGCAGCACCAACAUCAGUUUCUUUUUGCGUGGCAUUGUGUAAUCUAUUUGUUUUUUCAUUAGUGACAUUUUGAAUUCAAACGUGUUGCUAUUUUACCCCUUUGAGAAUGCAGUGUGAACGUAAAUUAAUUUUAGUAUUCUAAUUUAGUUUCUGAUUACCAUUCACUUUGGUUAACUUUGUCAAGCUUACCUAUUUACUUUGGUUAACUUUUUCCCCUGUUCUGUUGCCUAUAUCAUCCAUUGCUUGAUUUUCGUAUUUAAUGCACCGUCUUUUAUUAUAGGCAUUCUGGCAACUAUUCCACUAACUUUUUUUGCUCGGAUUUGUAGUAGAGGUUUUCAUGUUGUCUAGUUAAAGUAAUUUCCCCUGAAAAUUCGCUACAUUAGUAUACAUUCGGUAUUCAGUUGUUUUCACUGAUUUUUGCUGGGAUCUGUGGUAGAUGUUUUCGUUUUUCUUUCUUUUCCCUGAAAAUUCACAAGGUCACGAUCGAUUCGUUAUUGCCGCUUUCUUAGGAUUGUUGUCUUUGCUAUUGUCAGGAAUGUAUUUUUCUUUCUAGGAAGUUUACCGAUCGUUGUUAUGGUGCUCUGUUUUUAGAUUCCAUGGCCAAAAAUAAUAAAUGUGAUAAAGUUAAUUGU